AAGACAGUUAGGCUUAUGUAAUUUUAGUUUAUUGACCGCCCAUAAAAAAGUAAAAUUUGUAUAUAGGCAGUUAAUUUAGUUGUAACUAACUUGCUGAAGCUGUGAUAGUUUUGAGGGAAACUGGGAUUAGAUACCCCAUUAUUCUUGACUGUAAAUCUAAUUAAAUUUACCAGAGUACUAUGAAUAUUUAAUAAAAAUUUAAAACUCAAAGGGCUUGGCGGUGUUUUAGACCCAUCAGGGGAACCUGUCUCGUAAUCGACAAUCCACGUUAGACCUAACCCUAUUUUGCAUCCAGCUUGUAUACCGUCGUCGUCAGGUAACUUUUAAAGAACUAGAAGUUAGCAAUAAGAAUUUUGUAAAUUAAAACGUCAGAUCAAGGUGCAGCUAAUAGAAGGGGGAGGAUGGGUUACAAUUAUUAUAUUUAUAACUACGGAAGGUUAUAUGAAAAUAUGACUAUAAGGAGGACUUGAAAGUAAAAUAAGAUAUAUGAACAUUUGAAUGUGGCUCUGAAACGUGUACCAACCGCCCGUCGCUCUCGUUGAAAAAUGAGAUAAGUCGUAACAUAGCAGAGGUAAUGGAAAUUGUCUCUAGAUG
rnacentral:rRNA from 1 species